CCCCCUGUUCCUCUUCUGUAUCCUCGUCGUCGUCCUCGCUCUGCGCUUCUGCUUCCUGCGCCUUCUUUUCCUUUUCUACGUCUCCCUCCUCCUCCUCCUCACUUUCGUCCUGGGAGUCACUCUCUAAGUCACUUUCGGGGAGUGUCUGUCCGGCAUCUUCCUCCUCCUCACCACUGCUGUCGUACAAGCCGCUAUUUUUCCCAGACUCCAGGGCUCCCAGAAUAUAGUCAAGACCGUCGCGUGCAAAGCUCAGCGGCACGGAGCUGCUGCCGUCCUUCUUUUUGCGCUUGUUCAAACCGAGGCAACGCUCCAGCUUUCGGAUCUCUCGGUCCUCCUCCUCGUUCGCCGCUAAAAGCGCCCGUUUCCGGGCAGCGGCGGUGGCGGCUGCGGAGGGUCUGGUCUUUGCGGUGGCGGCCGUGGCCUUGGCCUUGACCCGGGACGGCCGCGGCUUCCUGGGAGGCGAGGGGUCCCGACUAGGGGCUGGGCGGGCGCGCUCCUCCGUGUCCUGCCGGUGACCGCUGGCUUCUUCGGCUCCGCUUCGGCCUCCCAGGCCGGGACCCUGUUCGGGGCCCGCCGUCCUCUGCAGCCGGCGUGCUUUCCGCAGGUGCCGCUUCUCCUUCCUCAGUUCCUUACGGCUUUUUCUCCCUCCCGGGCGAAAGCUCACCGGGGCGCCGCGCCCCUCGCAACCCCCGGGAGCCUCGCCUUCCGAAGUCGCGUGCACGAACUCCUCCACCGCUAGCUUCAGCCUCUUCAGGGCCUUCUCCCCACCGCCAGCAGGACCGCGGCGCGGCCCGC
rnacentral:lncRNA from 10 species